UACGUAUGUCGCAAGCGUUAUCCGGAAUUAUUGGGCGUAAAGCGAGUCUAGGCGGCUUGUUAAGUCAGAUGUGAAAAUGCGGGGCUCAACUCCGUAUUGCGUUUGAAACUGGCAGGCUAGAGUACUGGAGAGGUGGGCGGAACUACAAGUGUAGAGGUGAAAUUCGUAGAUAUUUGUAGGAAUGCCGAUAGUGAAGACAGCUCACUGGACAGAUACUGACGCUAAAGCUCGAAAGCGUGGGGAGCAAACA
rnacentral:rRNA from 1 species